GGUUGCGAUCAUACCAGCACUAAUGCACCGGAUCCCAUCAGAACUUCGCAGUUAAGCGUGCUUGGGCGAGAGUAGUACUAGGAUGGGGGACCCCCUGGGAAGUCCUCGUGUUGCAACCC
rnacentral:rRNA from 1 species